CCUGAUUGGCUGCCGCCUCCCGCCGAGCCGUGGCAACAGCGGUGUGGGGUGGGCUGUUGUCCCGUCCGUGCUAUUUGAACCCCGUCCGUCGGGUGUUUGCGCUGUGGUGAGAAAGGUCUGUGCGCUACCUGUUGUGGAAAGCAGAUACAACAGUGAGGUGGCUUUAGUGCAGAAGCCACCCGUUAGCAAAAUUCUCUCCGGGUCUUGAUAGUCCUUUGAACGUGAUUCCAGUCAGAUGCUUUAUUCCUCAGAGCUAACGACACAGCACUGUCACUGCUGUGAGUCGUCUGGCAGCGGUGUGCAUCUGUGCAGGUGAAUGGAGCCUGGGUACUGCCUUUCCCUGCUGCUGAAGAUACACAUUCAUGUACAGCGAUGCCUCUGUCACAGUGAAAAGCAUUUCCUUUUGCUUUCCCGUUAGCACUGCUGCCUGUUGAGAUGAUACGGAUUAGACAAACGUUACUACGCCUGUACAGCUGUAGGCCCUGUCAGUGUUUAAACAGUUGAAGAAGGCGGUUAUUGUGACUGUUGUGAAAUGGCAGCUCCGGGCACCAGAAUUCCCACAGAGUGCUGGAAACAAAUCCUCACCAAACUGCAUCUGGAAAAGGCUCUGCAGCUGAAGCAGAAUCAAAGCUUUUUCUCUUGCACUUCAUUUAAUGAAUUUCAUCUCCAGAUUUGGCACAGUUGCUCUCUGGAGGACGAUUGCAUUUUUUAGGUCAUUUCCCAGAUGAAAUAACUUAUUACUUCUCCAUAAACUUACCUUAGGUGAUUCAAAGUUUGAUAUGUGAAACCCAGCAAAUUAGAAGUACUCCUCUGUAAGAGACACAAAGUCCAGCUGCUGAAGUGCAGUGUAUCUCAGCCCGCCAGCAUCUCUGCUUCACGCCACCUGGAUGCUGAACCUGCAUGAAACACUUCAGAGGAGCUAAUUGUGUUGGGGUGAGAAGUUGCAAGCAGUGCCUGCAGAUAUCACAGUCUGGCUGAGAGUGCAGGCAGCCGAGCUGAGCUCAGAGGUGGGCUGCUGCUGCUUCUCUGCCCAUCAGCAAGCACAGGCUGGAGGCACUGCUGUGCAGCAGAGGAAGAGAUCGAGUGAACCUGAACACCAGUGGCACUCGGCACCUGGCCUCCUGCCUGCAGUGCUGGGUGGAGCUGGUCUUCCAGGGACAGUGCAGUGGAGUUCUUUGUGUUGUGCUCACAUGUUUGAAUUGUUCCCUUUACGUAUUACCUUAUUCUUGUUUCCUAGAUGUGAUUUACAUCCUCAUCAUGAUCUGGAUUCCCUGUCCUGCCAUAUGUAGCGAGCUCUGGAUGUGUUUAUGUUCUUCUUCUGUGGAGCUGUAAUUAGAAAUGCUCUGAGCAUGUGACUGACCUUCCCUGAACUGAAUGUACUGUACCUGCUGUUGUCAUUCCUCCUCCUCAACAUGGCGUGCCCUAGCAAAGAGAGGAGGUUGCCCUAGAUAGGAAAAACAAAGCCAUUUUUAUCUUAAAAUGCAUAUAAGAGCCCAAAGAACAGUACUUGUGUUAACGGGUCACAGAAAGGAGGUGGAAAUCUGGGAGUGUUUCUGGGAGUGCAGUUCCUUGGCUGCUGUAGAGGCGAGGAUGCUUUCCCAAGGGGCAGGCACACACGUUUCCCAGCACCACUGCUGCUGAGGUCAGACUGAGCGCUGCCUACCAGACAUCUUGGUUGGAAGUGUGGCAUGGAAAUGGCAGCAGAGAGGUCCUGUGUGGCGGCUGCCCAUGAAUAGCUUCUCUGAAGUAAUCCAGGACAGCAUGAAAGAAGAUUAAUGAUGUGAGGAGCAGCUCUCCCUGCUUUCAUGUGCUGUGACAGCUACGAGCUAUCAUUGUUACUGAAUGGGCUCACCCGAGGCCCAUUCUGGACAAAUAUCAGGAGAGAUGACUUCAAGGCCCAUCUUUUCAGGAAGCCUGUUGUUCUGGGUGCUGGGCUCAACUUGCUUAGGGCCUCAUUUUCAGAAGAAAUGAGCACUUACAGAGGCUUGAGUAGGGCACCAGGAAUAAGGGGCCGCUUUUGGAAAUGGUGGCAAAGGCAUUGUAUCUUUGCGCUUCAUUAGUCUGAUCCCCAAAGUCUUUCAUGUUAUGUUCUGCAGUGAAAGGUCAUUGUUUCAGAUCAGUCAUUUUCAGUGGGAUUUAAUCCACUUCCGAAUCAAGCUAAUCCACUUUGGUAUAGCUUGAAGAGCAGUAAAAAUUAAUUUGUCAAGAAAGAUCUGGACAUAUUUCCUAAAUGUUUGCUGACACUGAGUCCAUAAUUGUGUAGCCCUGCACCAGAUGUUUUGGGGGUAGUUCCAGAAGUGCUGGGCAUGGAAAUUCUGACUUUAUCUAUAGGUUGCAAAUGCUCAGCACCUCCGAGAAGCCCUGAGGUGGAGUAGGAUUGUUGGGGUUUUGUUUUUGUGUGUGGAUGUGUGUGUGUUUUUGACUUUCAGUAUUCACUUAGCAUAGACGUUGUUUACGUGUAGAGGCUUUUAGCAUUAGGAUGCUCAGGUGCAAGUUUCGGAUAAGCAAGCUUUUAUAUUUUUUUCCUCUUUAUGCUUGUAAAUUCUGGUUAUAUCCCUUUGAUUACAUAAAGAAUGAAAACACAUUCUUGUAUCUGGACUGGGGCAGGCGUUGUGGUUUGAAGCAGCUCAUGAAGAGUUAAAGCUGCUUUCAAUUAGGGGCUGUGUUCUUGCCACUUAGAGAAACCCCCACGACUGAGCAUGCUUCACAGCCUCCCGUGCAUAUCCCUGAAUCAUUCUGGCACCUAAAAACACUGCCACAAUCUUUUACUCAGACAUAGCACUCAUUCUUCACUGGACUCUGAAAUGAGCAAGUGCUUGAAAACAGCACAUUUUGCCAGAGAGCUCUGAGGAUCUCAGCUCCUGUCUGCACGGGAUUUUGAAC
ensembl:lncRNA